UACGGGGGGGGUAAGCGUUGGUUCGGAAUUACUGGGCGUAAAGGGCUCGUAGGCGGCCAACUAAGUCAGACGUGAAAUCCCUCGAGCUUAACUGGGGAACUGCGUCUGAUACUGGAUGGCUUGGAUUCGGGAGAGGGAAUGCGGAAUUCCAGGUGUAGCGGUGAAAUGCGUAGAUAUCUGGAGGAACACCGGUGGCGAAGGCAGGUCUCUGGGCCAUAACUGACGCUGAGAAGCGAAAGCAUGGGGAGCGAACAGG
rnacentral:rRNA from 1 species